GAUGAACGCUAGCGGCAGGCCUAAUCCAUGCAAGUCGAGGGAGAAGUUUUGUGCUUGCAUAAAAUGGAAACCGGCGAACGGGUGCGUAACACGUAUGCAACCUACCUAUAACUGGGGGAUAGCCCGAAGAAAUUCGGAUUAAUACCCUAUAAUAUUUACUCAUCGCAUGGUGAGUAUCUUAAAACUCCGGUGGUUAUAGAUGGGCAUGCGGCUUAUUAGUUUGUUGGUGAGGCAACGGCUCACCGAGACUACGAUAAGUAGGGGGUCUGAGAGGAUGAUCCCCCACACUGGUACUGAGACACGGACCAGACUCCUACGGGAGGCAGCAGUAGGGAAUAUUGGACAAUGGACGAAAGUCUGAUCCAGCCAUGCCGCGUGCAGGAUGACGGCCCUAUGGGUUGUAAACUGCUUUUAUAUAGGAAGAAACCCUCGCUCGUGAGCGAGGCUGACGGUACUAUACGAAUAAGGACCGGCUAACUCCGUG
rnacentral:rRNA from 1 species